rnacentral:rRNA from 1 species
AUUAAAGAUUUAUCGGUAAGAGAUAGGCCUGCGUCCCAUUAGCUAGUUGGUAAGGUAAAAGCUUACCAAGGCAAUAAUGGGUAGGGGGUUUGAAAGGAUGAUCCUCCACACUGGCACUGAGACACGGGCCAGACGGCUACGGGAGGCAGCAGUGAGGAAUAUUGCGCAAUGGGCGAAAGCCUGACGCAGCCAAACCGCGUGCAGGAAGACGGUCGUAAGAUUGUAAACUGCUUUAGUAUCCGAGGAACAAUCAGAACGAGUUUUUGAUUUGACAGUAGGAUACGAACAAGCACCGGCUAACUCCGUGCCAGCAGCCGCGGUAAUACGGAGGGUGCAGGCGUUAUCCGGAUUUACUAGGUUUAAAGGGUCCGUAGGCUGUAUAUUAAGUCAGUGGUGAAAUGUCUGAGCUUAACUGAGGACUUGCCAUUGAAACUGGUAUACUUGAGUAUGGUUGCUGUCGGCGGAAUGUAUUAUGUAGCGGUGAAAUGCAUAGAUAUGAUACAGAACACCAAUUGCGAAAGCAGCUGACAAAACCAGCACUGACGCUGAUAGACGAAAGCGUGGGGAGCGAACAGGAUUAGAUACCCUGGUAGUCCACGCAGUAAAAUAUGGGCACUAGUUUUUGGCGAUAGACAGUCAGAUACAAAGCGAAAGCGUUAAGUGCCCCACCUGGGGAUUACGUUCGCAAGAAUGAAACUCAAAGGAAUUGACGGGGGCCCGCACAAGCGGAGGAACAUGUGGUUUAAUUCGAUGAUACGCGAGGAACCUUACCUGGGCUUAAAUGCUAGGCGUCUUCGGGCGUAGUCUGUAGAAAUACAGCUUAAACUUGCAAGGUGCUGCAUGGUUGUCGUCAGCUCGUGCCGUGAGGUGUCGGGUUAAGUCCCAUAACGAGCGCUACCCACAUUCUUAGUUGCCAUCAAAUAAGUUGGGCACUCUAGGAAAACUGCCAUCGUAAGAUCUGAGGAAGGUGUGGAUGACGUCAAAUCAGCACGGCCCUUAUGUCCAGGGCUACACACGUGUUACAAUGGUCGGUACAAAAGGCAGCGACCUGGUAACAGAGAGCUAAUCUUAAAAACCGGCCUCAGUUCGGAUUGGAGUCUGCAAUUCGACUCCAUGAAGUCGGAUUCGCUAGUAACCGCGUAUC